GAUGAACGCUGGCGGCGUGCCUAAUACAUGCCAGUCGAGCGAACAGACGAGGAGCUUGCUCCUCUGACGUUAGCGGCGGACGGGUGAGUAACACGUGGAUAACCUACCUAUAAGACUGGGAUAACUUCGGGAAACCGGAGCUAAUACCGGAUAAUAUAUUGAACCGCAUGGUUCAAUAGUGAAAGACGGUCUUGCUGUCACUUAUAGAUGGAUCCGCGCCGCAUUAGCUAGUUGGUAAGGUAACGGCUUACCAAGGCAACGAUGCGUAGCCGACCUGAGAGGGUGAUCGGCCACACUGGAACUGCGACACGGUCCAGACUCCUACGGGAGGCAGCAGUAGGGAAUCUUCCGCAAUGGGCGAAAGCCUGACGGAGCAACGCCGCGUGAGUGAUGAAGGUCUUCGGAUCGUAAAACUCUGUUAUUAGGGAAGAACAAAUGUGUAAGUAACUAUGCACGUCUUGACGGUACCUAAUCAGAAAGCCACGGCUAACUACGUG
rnacentral:rRNA from 1 species